rnacentral:rRNA from 1 species
AUUGAACGCUGGCGGAAUGCUUUACACAUGCAAGUCGAGCGGCAGCGCGGGGGCAACCCUGGCGGCGAGCGGCGAACGGGUGAGUAAUACAUCGGAACGUGUCCUUGAGUGGGGGAUAGCUCGGCGAAAGCCGGAUUAAUACCGCAUAAGCUCUGAGGAGGAAAGCGGGGGACUGGUAACGGCCUCGCGCUGUUGGAGCGGCCGAUGUCGGAUUAGCUAGUUGGUGGGGUAAAGGCCCACCAAGGCGACGAUCCGUAGCUGGUCUGAGAGGAUGAUCAGCCACACUGGAACUGAGACACGGUCCAGACUCCUACGGGAGGCAGCAGUGGGGAAUUUUGGACAAUGGGGGCAACCCUGAUCCAGCCAUUCCGCGUGAGUGAAGAAGGCCUCGGUGUAA